rfam:TPA: Bos taurus chromosome 20, whole genome shotgun sequence.
UCCCUGGUAGUCCAGUGGUUAAGACUCCAUGCUCCCAAUGCAGGAGGCCUGGGUUUGACCCCUAGUCAGGGAA